rnacentral:rRNA from 1 species
CCUACGGGUGGCAGCAGUCGGGAAUAUUGCGCAAUGGAGGAAACCCUGACGCAGCGACGCCGCGUAGGUGAAGAAGGUUUUCGGAUUGUAAACUAUUGUCGUUAGGGAAGAUAAAAGACUGUACCUAAGGAGGAAGCCCCGGCUAACUAUGUGCCAGCAGCCGCGGUAAUACAUAGGGGGCAAGCGUUAUCCGGCAUUAUUGGGUGUAAAGGGUGCGUAGACGGAAGAAGAAGUCAGUUGUGAAAGCCCUCGGCUCAACUGAGGAACUGCACACAAAACUAUUCUGCUUGAGUGUCGGAGAGGAAAGUGGAAUUCCUAGUGUAGCGGUGAAAUGCGUAGAUAUGAGGAGGAACACCAGUGGCGAAGGCGACUUUCUGGACUAUAACUGACGUUGAGGCACGAAAGUGUGGGGAGCAAACAGGAUUAGAUACCCUUGUAGUC